UACGGAGGGGGCUAGCGUUGUUCGGAAUUACUGGGCGUAAAGCGCGCGUAGGCGGACUGUUAAGUCGGGGGUGAAAUCCCGGGGCUCAACCCCGGAACUGCCUUCGAUACUGGCGGUCUAGAGGUCUGGAGAGGUGAGUGGAAUUCCGAGUGUAGAGGUGAAAUUCGUAGAUAUUCGGAGGAAUACCAGUGGCGAAGGCGGUUCACUGGCCAGAUUCUGCCGCUGAGGUGCGAAAGCGUGGGGAGCAAACAGG
rnacentral:rRNA from 1 species